rnacentral:rRNA from 1 species
UACCAGCACCCCGAGUGGUCGGGACGUUUAUUGGGCCUAAAGCAUCCGUAGCCGGUUCUACAAGUCUUCCGUUAAAUCCAGCUGCUUAACAGAUGGGGCUGCGGAAGAUACUAUGGAGCUAGGAGGCGGGAGAGGCAAGCGGUACUCGAUGGGUGAAGGGGUAAAAUCCGUUGAUCCAUUGAAGACCACCAGUGGCGAAGGCGGCUUGCCAGAACGCGCUCGACGGUGAGGGAUGAAAGCUGGGGGAGCAAACCGGAUUAGAAUCACCUAGUACGU